GACGAACGCUGGCGGCGUGCCUAAUACAUGCAAGUAGAACGCUGAAGAGAGGAGCUUGCUCUUCUUGGAUGAGUUGCGAACGGGUGAGUAACGCGUAGGUAACCUGCCUUGUAGCGGGGGAUAACUAUUGGAAACGAUAGCUAAUACCGCAUAACAAUGGAUGACACAUGUCAUUUAUUUGAAAGGGGCAAUUGCUCCACUACAAGAUGGACCUGCGUUGUAUUAGCUAGUAGGUGAGGUAAUGGCUCACCUAAGCGACGAUACAUAGCCGACCUGAGAGGGUGGUCCGGCAAACCGGGACUGAGACACGGGCCAGACCUCCAACGGAAGCAACAGGAGGGAAUCUUCGGCAAUGGGGGGAAACCUGAACGAGGCAAGACGGGGGGGUGGAGAAAGUUUUCGGAGCGUAAAGCUCUGUUGUAAGUCAAGAACGGGUGUGAGAGUGGAAAGUUCACGCUGUGACGGUAGCCUAACAGAAAGGGACGGCUAACUACGUG
rnacentral:rRNA from 1 species